rnacentral:rRNA from 1 species
GACCGGUACAAGCGGGGUAGGAGUAAGGACAGCAAAUCUUCCUUACAAUCCGAAGACGUAAUGUGGACCGAACCAAAGUAGGGAAGCGUGUGAGCCAUGUGCCAAGAAAAGCCGCUAUAGUGAUACACAUACCCGUACCGUAAACCGACACAGGUGGAUGAGGAGAGAAUCCUAAGGCCGACGGAAGAAGCAUUGUUAAGGAACUCGGCAAAAUGACCCCGUAACUUCGGGAGAAGGGGUGCCCUGUGAAAGCAGGGCCGCAGAGAAUAGGCUCAAGCAACUGUUUAGCAAAAACACAGGUCUAUGCGAAACCGAAAGGUGAGGUAUAUGGGCUGACGCCUGCCCGGUGCUGGAAGGUUAAGAGGAGAAGUCAGGCAACGAAGCUUCGAAUUUAAGCCCCAGUAAACGGCGGCCGUAACAAUAACGGUCCUAAGGUAGCGAAAUUCCUUGUCGGGUAAGUUCCGACCCGCACGAAAGGCGUAAUGAUUUGAGCACUGUCUCGACAAUGCAUCCGGUGAAAUUGAAGUACCAGUGAAGAUGCUGGUUACCUGCGCCAGGACGGAAAGACCCCAUGGAGCUUUACUCCAGCUUGAUACUGGGAUUCGAUACUGUAUGUACAGGAUAGGUGGGAGACGUUGAGCAUAGAACGCCAGUUUUAUGUGAGUCGCUGUUGGGAUACCACCCUUGCAGUAUUGGAUUUCUAACCUGCACCCAUGACCUGGGUGGGGGACAAUGUCUGGCGGGGAGUUUGACUGGGGCGGUCGCCUCCGAAAGGGUAUCGGAGGCGCUCAAAGGUUCCCUCAGAAUGGUUGGAAACCAUUCGAAGAGUGCAAAGGCAGAAGGGAGCUUGACUGUGACACCGACGGGUGGAACAGGUACGAAAGUAGGACUUAGUGAUCCGGUGGUAUAAAGUGGGAUUGCCAUCGCUCAACGGAUAAAAGCUACCCUGGGAUAACAGGCUUAUCACUCCCAAGAGUUCACAUCGACGGAGUGGUUUGGCACCUCGAUGUCGGCUCAUCGCAUCCUGGGGCUGUAGCAGGUCCCAAGGGUUGGGCUGUUCGCCCAUUAAAGCGGUACGCGAGCUGGGUUCAGAACGUCGUGAGACAGUUCGGUCCCUAUCCGGCGCAGGCGGAGGAUAUUUGAGAGGAGCUGUCCUUAGUACGAGAGGACCGGGAUGGACGGACCACUGGUGUAUCUGUUGGCUAUCAGAGCCAUGGCAGAGUAGCCAAGUCCGGCAGGGAUAAACGCUGAAGGCAUCUAAGCGUGAAGCCCCCCUCAAGAUGAGAUAUCCCUCAGAAAUGAGUAAGACCCCUUGAAGACUACGAGGUAGAUAGGAAUGAGGUGUAAGCACAGCAAUGUGUUCAGCUGACAUUUACUAAUCGGUCGAGGGCUUGACU